rnacentral:tRNA from 1 species
UCCUAAUUAGCUCGGUAGAGCGCUCCACUGGAAAUGGAGAGGUCCCUGGUUCGAUACCAGGACCAGGCA